GAAUGUUGAGGAUUAAUUGUUUUGAGAAAGAGAAAAAGAUUAAAGAUUAUAAAAGGUUAUUUGAUUUAUUUUUUUUUUAUUUUAGGAAGGGUUUUUAUAGAUUGAUAUAUGGGGUUUAUUUUAAGUAUUGUUUAAAUUUUUUAAAAAGAGAGAUAUGAAAAUUUUUUAUUUUAAUUUUGUAUGGAUAGGAAAAAUUUUUAUUUAAAUUAAAUUUUUUAAGGUU
rnacentral:misc_RNA from 1 species